rfam:Leptospirillum ferrooxidans C2-3 DNA, complete genome.
UCCGGUGGCCAUGCCGGAGGGGAUCCACCCGUUCCCAUCCCGAACACGGCCGUUAAGCCCUCCAGGGCCGAUGAUACUGCAACUGCAAGGUUGUGGGAAAGUAGGACGCUGCCGGAA